GUAGACAAAAUGUACACUUGAUAUCCAUAAUUUAUGGUACAAAUUGAUACAAAUUGAUAAUAGGUUAGGUAAAUGUUCCAUGAUAAUGGGUUAGGUAAAUGUUUCAUGAUAAUAGGUUAGGUAAAUGUUCCAUGAUAAUGGGUUAGGUAAAUGUUUCAUGAUAAUGGGUUAGGUAAAUGUUUCAUGAUAAGAAUAUGAUGUCUUUUGUAUUAAAGAACUAAAUGGAUGAAAUAUGAAGUUUUAUUAAAAGAAAAAAAAGGGGUGAAAAGAACAAAGUUUUGUCCAUCUUUGUUCAUCAUAGCUGAAAGUUAGAGAAGAGAAAGGAGAGGAGAAAGCUCUUGAGUAUUCGGUCAUUAGGAGGAGGAAAAUUGAAGGAAAUCCCCAACCAUAGUGGGCUUGGAGCUGUGAGGGAAUUCGGAGUGGCCACCCAUUCUGAAAGUUUGAUUUUCUUCUGGUGAACUGGACAUCCUUUUAUUUACGUUUGAAGUUUUGGGUUUUUAAAUGUAAUAAGGCCGCUUAAUUAUUUUUGAUGGUUUUAAUAUGUAUUACUAAGAUAGGUAUUACUUAUUUUAACUGUUGAAAUUGGAUAGCUUUAGAGCGCGUUUUCAAAAAAAUAACAAUUGAUUUCAAAAUAACACGACAACAA